rnacentral:rRNA from 1 species
CCUACGGGGGGCAGCAGUGGGGAAUUUUGCGCAAUGCUCGUAAGAGUGACGCAGCGACGCCGCGUGAAUGACGAAGGCCUUCGGGUCGUAAAGUUCUUUCGACAGGGAAGAAAAUGCCUAUAAGUAACUGUGUAUGAAUUGACGGUACCUGUAUAAGCAGCCCCGGUUAACUCCGUGCCAGCAGCCGCGGUAAUACGGAGGGGGCGAGCGUUGUUCGGAGUGACUGGGCGUAAAGGGCACGUAGGCGGUGUUGUAAGUCAUUAGUCAAAGACUAGAGCUCAACUUUAGUAAGGCUAGUGAUACUAUAAUACUGGAGUAUCAGAGAGGAAGGCAGAAUUCCUGGUGUAGCGGUGAAAUGCGUAGAUAUCAGGAGGAAUACCGUUAGCGAAGGCGGCAAUCUGGCUGGAAACUGACGCUGAGGUGCGAAAGCGUGGGUAGCAAACAGGAUUAGAUACCCGGGUAGUC